rnacentral:rRNA from 1 species
GAUGAACGCUGGCGGCGUGCUUAACACAUGCAAGUCGAACGGGAAACCUUUUAAUGAAGCUUCGGCAGAUUUAGCUGGUUUCUAGUGGCGGACGGGUGAGUAACGCGUGGGUAACCUGCCUUAUACAGGGGGAUAACAGUCAGAAAUGACUGCUAAUACCGCAUAAGCGCACAGGACCGCAUGGUCCGGUGUGAAAAACUCCGGUGGUAUAAGAUGGACCCGCGUUGGAUUAGCUUGUUGGUGGGGUAACGGCUCACCAAGGCGACGAUCCAUAGCCGGCCUGGGAGGGUGAACCGCCACAUUGGGACUGAGACACGGCCCAGACUCCUACGGGAGGCAGCAGUGGGGAAUAUUGCACAAUUGGGGAAACCCUGAUGCAGCGACGCCGCGUGAAGGAAGAAGUAUCUCGGUAUGUAAACUUCUAUCAGCAGGGAAGAUAGUGACGGUACCUGACUAAGAAGCCCCGGCUAACUACGUG